GCGGAUGUAGCUCAGCUGGAUAGAGUACCUGGCUACGAACCAGGCGGUCGGAGGUUCGACUCCUCCCAUCCGCA
rfam:Shewanella violacea DSS12 DNA, complete genome.